GUCCGGUAGAGUUAGCUCCGAUGUGGUUAACAAGAAAGAAUGAAGUCCUUACCUACAAUAUCUCUCUUAGGUCCGGUAGAGUUAGGUCCGAUGUGGUUAACAAGAAAGAAUGAAGUCCUUACCUACAAUAUCUCUCUUAGGUCCGGUAGAGUUAGGUCCGAUGUGGUUAACAAGAAAGAAUGAAGUCCUUACCUACAAUAUCUCUCUUAGGUCCGGUAGAGUUAGGUCCGAUGUGGUUAACAAGAAAGAAUGAAGUCCUUACCUACAAUAUCUCUCUUAGGUCCGGUAGAGUUAGGUCCUUACCUACAAUAUCUCUCUUAGGUCCUACA